AUGGAGGCUUUGGUGCAUUUGGAUUUGUCAGUAAACAAUCUGACUGGAAAAAUUCCGAGCAGUUUGUUUAUGCUAAAGAAUUUAAGUAUUGUGUUUCUUUACAGAAACCAAUUGUCUGGGGAGAUUCCUCGGGUGGUUGAAGCAUUAAAUAUUGAUGUUAUUGACCUCUCCGAUAAUAAAUUGACUGGAAGCAUACCUGAUGAUUUUGGCAGACUCAGAAACAUGACAGGUCUAAGUUUGUUUUUCAAUCAGUUAUCUGGAAAAAUCCCGGACAGUAUCGGCCGUCUUCCAAGUCUGAGGGUCCUUAAAGUGUUUAGCAACAAUUUAUCAGGGACUCUGCCUCCGGACUUUGGGCGGUAUUCUACGCUUGUAGAGUUCCAGGUUGCAGACAAUAAGCUCGAAGGUGAGUUACCAAAACACUUGUGUGAUAACGGAAGGUUGGUGGGUGUGGUAGCUUUUAACAACAACCUCACUGGAGAAUUGCCUAAGUCGCUUGGCAAUUGCAAUGGUUUGAUGUUUGUGAAUGUAUACAACAAUUGGAUUUCUGGGGAUAUUCCUAGUGGCCUAUGGACAUUGUUGAAUUUGAGGGUCUUGAUUUUAAGCGACAAUUCGUUUACAGACGAGCUUCCUCAAAGGGUGGCAAGGAAUCUCUCAAGAUUGGAAAUAAAUAACAACUUUUUUUCUGGUACGAUUCCAGCUGGAGUGUCUUCCUGGAGGAAUUUAGUGGUAUUUGAGGCUAGUAAUAACCUCUUUACUGGCACAAUUCCUCGAGAAUUAACAUCUCUUCCUAAUUUAACAACUCUUUUUCUUGAUCAAAAUCGACUCUCGGGCUCCCUUCCACCAGAUAUUAUAUCAUGGAAAACGUUGAAUACUCUAAACUUUUGCCGAAAUAAAAUCUCUGGACCUAUUCCGGAGAAAUUAGGUAAUUUGGCAGGUCUUACAGAGUUGGACUUGUCAGAAAACCAACUUUCUGGCCAAAUACCUCUCCAACUAGGCCUCUUGAAGCUCACUUUACUCAAUCUCUCUUCCAAUCAUUUGACUGGGAGGAUCCCAACACAAUUUGAAAAUGAUGCAUAUGCCAGCAGCUUCUUGAACAAUCUUGCUCUCUGUUCUAAUAAGCCAUCACUAAACAUUAACAGCUGUAACAAUUCUGACCAUCGUAAACCGAGGAAAGUUCCCUCCAAAUAUCUUCCUUUAAUUAUAAGUUUUGUGGCAGCAGCUCUACUGAGUGUAGUAGUUGCAAUGAUCUGUAUUUAUAGGAAGGGAAAGCAUGGAUUUGAUUCCACAUGGAAGUUCACCACAUUCCAGAGGGUGAAUUUCAAGGAAUCAGACAUUUUGUCAGGAUUUACAGAAUAUAAUGUGAUUGGUAGCGGUGGAUCAGGGAAGGUAUACCGUGUUGUUGUCAAUGAUUCAAGCAAUUUUGUUGCUGUGAAGAGAAUUGGGAAUAACCGAAAGCCAAAGCAGAUGCUUGAGAAAGAAUUUCAUGCAGAAGUUAAAAUAUUGGGUUCGAUUCGACAUUCCAACAUAGUGAAGUUGCUCUGUUGUAUGUCCAAUGAAAAUUCAAAACUUCUAGUCUGUGAGUAUUCAGAAAACCGUAGCCUGGAUCAAUGGCUACAUAGGAAGAGUAGAGCAUCAUCCACCUCAAGUUCAGUCCAGCAUGUUGUCCUGGAUUGGCCUAAGAGAUUGCAGAUAGCAGUUGGGGCUGCCCAGGGAUUGUAUUUCAUGCACCAUAACUGCUCCCCACCAAUUGUUCAUCGAGAUGUGAAAUCAAGUAACAUCCUCUUAGACUCUGAGUUCAACGCAAAGAUAGCUGAUUUUGGUCUAGCCAAGGUGUUCAAGCAGGGUAUUACAAAACAGAGAUGAAGAAAGCCAAGAAUCUGUGAAUGUAAGAGAGAGUGUUUGAGAGAGAAGAUUAGAAACUUUCUCUUGAUAUUGUAAUAAUGAUGAACCUAUACACAAUCUAGGAAUAUAUACAUCUCUGUAUCUAAAGCUCAAAACAGAAUGUAACAAACAAAACAGAAAAUAAGGGAAGCAGUUAUAACACGUGGGAAAGUUAGUUACAGCACGUGAGAUACAAUUUGAAUAAAAUUAAUAGCUAAACUACAUGCCGUUUAUCAACUAAUCUAAUUUACACUUGCAGCUUGUUUAUGUCGUUUAGUUCUAUUUGUUCUGUGUUUGCUUAGUUCUUCUUUUCUUCCUUCUUGUUCUGUGAUCCUUUCUUCUUUACUCCUUUCUGCUUCACUGCUAACUGAUACUCCCCCUCAAGAUGAGACUCAUAACUGUGUAUAUUCAAUACACUCAUCUUGGAAAUUAAGAACAUCAAUUGUUGACUGCAUAAUGCUUUGGUGAACAGGUCUGCAACCUGUGUAUGUGUAGGAGUAAAAAAUAAACGGAUCACCUUCUCUUGCACCUUGUCUCUAACCAAAUGACAAUCUACCUCUAUAUGUUUGGUAUGCUCGUGGAAGACUGAAUUCUCACCAAUGUGGAUUGCUGCUUGAUUAUCACAGAAGAGCAGACCAGGUUGUGGAUGAUCAACCUCCAAAUCUUUUAACAAAGCUAACAACCAAGUCAUUUCACAAACUGUUAAGGCCAUUGCUCUAUACUCAGCUUCAGCUGAUGAUCUGGAAACGAUGGAUUGUUUCUUAGAUUUCCAUGAAACCAAUGAAUCACCCAAGAACACACAAAAACCAGUAGUGGAUCUUCUGGUAUCCACACAUGAAGCCCAAUCUGCAUCCGUGUAGGCCUUCAAAUGUAGAUCAGACUUUGAUGACAGAAGAAUGCCUUGACCAGGAGAUCCUCUGAUGUACUGUAAUAUCUUGUAGGCUGCAUCAAGAUGUGGUUUCCUAGGCUUAGCCAUGAAUUGGCUUAGUUUAUGGACUGAAUAUGUGAUAUCUGGCCUGGUUAUUGUCAGAUAUAGUAACCUUCCAAUUAAUCUUCUAUACACCCCAGGAUCAUCUAAUAAAACUCCUUGGUACUUACUUAGUUUCAAGUUUUGCUCCAUUGGUACCUUGCUGGGCUUACAACCUUCCAUACCAGCAUCCUUAAGAACUCCUAGUGCAUACUUUCUUUGGCAUAGUGAGAUUCCCUUUUCUGAUCUAGCAACCUCAAGACCUAGAAAGUAUUUCAAAUUACAAGGUCUUUUAACUUGAACUCAAGAUUCAAAGAAGCUUUAAGGUCUUCCACUGCUUGAACAUCAUUGCUUGCAAUGAGAAUGUCAUCAACAUAAACAAGCAAUGCUAUGAAGAUCUGAUUAAUCUUCUUGGUGAAUAAAGAAUAAUCAGAUUUUGAUUGCUUGAAACCAUGUUUUAAAAUGGUUGUAGAGAACUUGGAAUACCACUGCCUUCAUGCUUGCUUGAGACCAUAUAAAGACUUGUGAAGCUUGCAAACCAGGUUCUCCCCCUUGCUGUGAAAACCUUGAGGCAAUUGCAUAUAGACCUCUUCAUGGAGAGUACCAUUAAGGAAAGCAUUGUUCACAUCAAGUUGAACCAAAUGUCAGCCUCUCACAGCAGAAAUAGCAAGUAAAGUCUUGACAGUGGUGAGCUUAGCAACUGGAGAGAAAGUAUCAGUGAAGUCCAAACCAGCUUGCUGAGUGAAACCCUUGGCUACAAGCCUAGCUUUGUAUCUGUCCAAAGAGCCAUCAGCAUUAUACUUCACCCUAUAAACCCAUUUACACCCAAUAGCCCUUUUGUGAGGAGGUAAAUGUGUAAUGGUCCAGGUUUUAUUUGCUUCCAAAGCAGCAAUCUCAGAUGCCAUAGCAGCCUGCCAAUUAGAAUCCUUGACUGCCUUAUGGUAAUAUGUAGGCUCAGGAAUGGUAGAGAUUAAAGAACAAAAGUGUGCAUAAGUGGGGGAUAGUUUGGAGGAGUUAAGGUAAGUGGACAAAGGGUAGUGAGUACCUGACUUGUUGGCAGAAGAAGAAUGAGCAGAUUCAUUACUAACAACUGUGCUGCACUUAAAAUCAGUCAGGUAUGCAGGUGGUUUAGAUACUCUGGAAGAUUUCCUCAAAGGAACAGAUGAUGUAGUUAUGGGAGGAAUAAUGGGUGGAACGUUUGAAGAAGGAAGGAUAGGUAAUUCUGCAGAAAUGGUAUCUGCAGAAGUAGCAAGAGGUAAAUCUGCAGAAUUAGGAACAUGUAAAUCUGCAGAAUUGGGAAUAGAUGAAGCUGUAGAAGAUGGGAUGGAAGUAGUGGAAUCAUAAGGAAUAGCAUUGUGGUUAGGAAAAUCAAACAAAGAAGUAGGAUUAGACACUGAAGGGAAGAGAUGAGGUAAAGGAAUGCUAGUGUGAGGAGAUGAAGAUGGAGAAGUGGAAACAAAAGGAAAUACUGUUUCAAGAAAAUGAACAUCUCUGGAAACAAAAAUCCUUUUGGUAGUUAGGUCAAGCAACUUAUAACCCUUAACACCAAACAGGUAACCAAGAAAAACACAAGAGGAAGAUCUAGGAUCAAAUUUUGAUCUGUGAUGAGUAAGAGUUGAGGCAAAACAAAGGCAGCCAAAGACCUUUAAAUGAGCAAAGGAAGGAGGCUUGCCAUAGAGUUUUUCAAAGGGAGUUUUCUGGUUUAGUAUUUUGGAAGGUAACCUAUCGAUGAUGUGAACAGUAGUCAACACACAUUCACCCCAAUAGGAUAUAGGAACAUUAGAUUGAAAUUUCAAUGCCCUUGCUAUGCACAAAAUGUGCUGGUGCUUCCUCUCCACAACUGAGUUUUGUUGUGGAGUGGCAACACAUGUAUGUUGGUGAAUGAUGCCCUUGUUGGCAUAGAAUUCUUUUAAGAAAAAUUCAGGACCAUUGUCAGUUCUAAUGAUCUUAAUAUUGGCAUGAAAUUGUGUAUGUAUCAUGUUAUAAAAUGAGAUCAAUAAAGGUCUAGUUUCAGCCUUGGAUUUCAUAAGGUAAAUCCAAGUGGAUCUUGUGGCAUCAUCACUCCACAACUGAGUUUUGUUGUGGAGUGGCAACACAUGUAUGUUGGUGAAUGAUGCCCUUGUUGGCAUAGAAUUCUUUUAAGAAAAAUUCAGGACCAUUGUCAGUUCUAAUGAUCUUAAUAUUGGCAUGAAAUUGUGUAUGUAUCAUGUUAUAAAAUGAGAUCAAUAAAGGUCUAGUUUCAGCCUUGGAUUUCAUAAGGUAAAUCCAAGUGGAUCUUGUGGCAUCAUCCACAAUGGUAAGGAAGUACUUGAAGCCAUCAUGAGUGAAUUUAGCAAAUGGUCCCCAAAUAUCACAGUGAAUCAAAUCAAAAACAUUAUUUGAAAUGUGAUUAGAAGAUGGGAAAGGAAGUCUUUUCUGUUUGGCAAUUGGACAAAGAAUACAAUUCUUAUUGCUGUGAAAAUUUUGUACAUCAGAAAUGAGAUUAUGCAAGGCAUGAAAUUUAUUAUCCGAGGCAUGUCCUAACCUCAUAUGCCAAAGAUAAGACUUGGUAACAGUAGGAAUGAACAUAGACUCAGAAACAGAAUUGACAAAAGAUUUAAAAACAGACUCAAGAGUUGAAGAAGCUGUUGAAACAGAUUUGCUAGUUGGGGCAAUAUGCAGCAGAAACAAAUUGUCAUGUAAUUCACCCAUUCCAAUCUUCUUCCAACAAGUAAGGUCCUGGAUAAAGCAUAAAUUUGAUAGAAAAACCACACAACAUGGAAGAGUUUUGGUUAAUUUGCUGACAGAGAUUAGAUUGAAAUUAAAAGAGGGAACACAUAGCACAUUUUCAAGUUUCAAAGUUGCAGUGACUUGAAUUGUACCAAUGUGUGUGACAGUGACUCUUUCACCAUUUGGCAAUUGAACAAAGGUGGAAAUAGAACUAGUGAAAUGUGUAAACAAAGAAAAGGAAUGAACUAUGUGAUCUGUGGCUCCAGUGUCAAUGAUCCAGACAUCAUUACCAUAGGCAGCCUUGUUGACAGGAUUAAUAGCAAAAACUGAAUGAUGCAAAACUGAGGAAACAAAAUUAGACCAAGCAUUACACACAUUACCUGAAAGGGCAGAAUUGACUGAGUGUAAGGCAUCAUUGAUACCAUUUGUACCAGCAGAUGAGGAUGCAUGAGAACUGAGCAUUGAAAUCAAUUGUUGAUACUGCUCUGAAGUAAAAGGGAAUGAGUUGACCUGUGAAAUAUCAGCAAUGCCUUGAUCACCUUCAACCAAGACUUGAUUUGCCAUAGCCACUUUGCCUCGCUACUUGUAACCAGGAGGGAAUCCCACUAACUUGUAGCAUUUCUCCAUAACAUGGCCAAGCUUCCCACAGUGACUACACACAGGCCUCCCUUUAGUGUUAUUUCCUCUGAUAUACCUGUUGUUCCCUGGAAAUGAAUUUCCCUGAUUGAAUCCUUGAUUCUUGACUGCAAGAGCAGUUGAUUCAACUGAGGGAGCAACAUUGAAAUCCAAACAUCUUUGCCUUUCCUCUUGAAUUACCAAAGAAAAUGCCUUAUCAAUGGAAGGACUAGGCUCCAUCAUGAGAAUCUGUGUUCGAACUUGAGAAUAAGAAUCAUUCAAGCCAUUUAAGAAUUGCAUAAGUGAGUCUUGAUGCUGAAGUGCUGUGAUUUUGUCAUUUACACCACAAGUGCAUUUACCACAUGAGCAGCAUGGUAAGGGCCUGAAAUUCAAUAGUUGAUCCCAAGCAGCUUGAAGAUCAGUGAAAAAUCCUGUAAUUGUGGCUGUACCUUGCAUCAUAGUUGAAAUUUGCCUCUGAAGUUGAGAGAUUCUUGGUCCAUUGGCUUGGGAGAAACGUUUCUUGAGAGUGUUCCAUACCUCAAAUGCAGUGUCUCUGUAAAUUACACUAGCAGUGAGGUGAGGAGAAACUGAAUUCAAGAUCCAUGAAGAGAUCAUUGAAUUGCAUUUGGACCAAGCUUUCUUCUCUAAUGGUGUGACUGCCAUCGAAGCAUUGAUGGAUCCAUCAACAAAUCCGAGUUUGCUUUUGGCAUCCAAAGCCAUUAUCAUUGCUCUGGACCACAUAGGACAAUUGUUCUCAGUCAAUGAUUGAGUAACCAAAAUCGCACCUGGUGUUUCACCAUGGUGCAAGAAAAAUGGACUUCUUGGAUCUUCCAUUGGAGUCAGCUCUCGCUGAGAAGCAUUUUGAGUAUUCGAUGCCAUUAAAGUAGGCUCUUGCUCUGAUACUAUAUUACAAAACAGAGAUGAAGAAAGCCAAGAAUCUGUGAAUGUAAGAGAGAGUGUUUGAGAGAGAAGAUUAGAAACUUUCUCUUGAUAUUGUAAUAAUGAUGAACCUGUACACAAUCUAGGAAUAUAUACAUCUCUGCAUCUAAAGCUCAAAACAGAAUGUAACAAACAAAACAGAAAAUAAGGGAAGCAGUUAUAACACGUGGGAAAGUUAGUUACAGCACGUGAGAUACAAUUUGAAUAAAAUUAAUAGCUAAACUACAUGCCGUUUAUCAACUAAUCUAAUAUACACUUGCAGCUUGUUUAUGUCGUUUAGUUCUAUUUGUUCUGUGUUUGCUUAGUUCUUCUUUUCUUCCUUCUUGUUCUGUGAUCCUUUCUUCUUUACUCCUUUCUGCUUCACUGCUAACUGAUACAGGGAAAACAUUUUUUUGAGUCAGUUUUCGCCGGUUCUUUUGGCUACAUAGCUCCAGGUAUGAGAUAUACAAAUUUAUAAGGUUCAUUCUAAUAGUGAUGUUCGUUUCCUCUUUUUGCAUCAACAGGAAUUCUAUUUUAGUUUGUGUUGUAAAUUUGAACCGCAGAGCGUGCUCGUACUCCCGUUGUUAAUGAGAAGAUUGAUGUUUAUAGCUUUGGGGUUAUCCUUCUGGAACUAACUACUGGAAGGGAAGCUAGAUAUGGUGAUGAACACACAUCCCUUGCCAAAUGGGCAUGGCAUUACAUUAAAGAUGACAUCCCUAUAGUUGAUGCAUUGGAUGAGGAGAUCAAGGAACCCAGUUAUUUGGAAGGAAUGAGCUCUGUUUUCAUUCUUGGAAUCAUUUGUACGAAUACAGAACCUUCUAAGCGGCCUUCCAUGAAAGAGGUUGUGCAGAUUCUGCACAAAUGCAACCAGCCACUUGUUUAUGGAGAGAAGAUUGCUGCAAGGUUGUACAAUGCUUCUCCCCUCCUCAAGAAUUCAAAGCGCAAGAGUGCGUCGGAAAAUGAUGUGGAAAUAAUGAUAGGAUAAAUUGUUAGCUUAGUAUUUGAAUAAAUCUUAUCUACUUAUAGUAGAUAAAGAUUAGAUUUCUUUGGAAUUUAAAUAUUAGCUUUACCUUGUAAAGCCAUCUAUUUAUAUGACUUGAUGUUGAUUAAUAAAGGAAGUUGAAAAAUAUUAUUAUUGAGUGAGUAUUCACUAUUCACUUUAGAUGUCUGAACUCCCUCAAAGUAGUCUAUCUAUCAAUUAGGAGGUCUUGGUUCCCUCGAAGUAACCAAUAAACUUAUUUGGGUUUGUAACACUAUAGUUUAUAACUUUGUAUUGUAUUAAUCAAAGAUAUUCAAGGAGUCUUUAAUAAAAAUAAUAAUAAUAAAUUAAAAGAAAAGGAAAAUGGAUCCGUUUAUGUGGAUUUUAUUAGUAUUUUUUUUAUGAAGACAUUAAACAGUUUACUUGGAUCUUGAACUAAACAAGAAAGAAUAGUCUUAUGAAAACAAAAAUAAAGAAUAGAGAAUGCAAACUAUUAGAAGUAUGUUGUUAAAUAAUUAAAUUUAUCAUAUGUUAAUAGUUUAAGCUUUUGGAACAAUCAGUAAUUUAAUACAAACAAAGUAUUCUUCCUAACAUUUCCAUCAAACUCUCUAAACCCAAAAUUCUCUUUGAUUUGGAGAAUAAACCCAUGAAAUGUUGCACCAACAGACUCUCGAAAUGGAUUUUUUUUUUUUUUUUGGUUGUUGUUGCUAAUGAACAGUAACUCUCUUGGUUUGAAGACCUCAUUAGCAGAAGAAUUAACCAGAAUAAAAUAAAAUAAACCCAACCAAUUAAAAUAUUCAACUUUUGCUUAACCUUCACAAUGGCUACAAACACAACCAAAUCUAGAUCCUUUCUCUCUCAAACAUCUCUAAAACAAACUCAAAAACACAAUCUUAAAACUACUCAAAUCAAAACAAAAAAACCUAAAAAUAAAUAAAUAAAUAAAUAAAAACAAAAAAAAAACCCAAAAAAAAAAGACAAAGAAACCGAUCUAGCCAAUCUAGGCUACAUGCACAAAAUCUCAUCAAGUCAAUGCUUUGAAAUGAUUUAGUGGGUAUGGCAAUUUUUUGCAAUCAAUAUAAGAUCAUAAAACCUUGCCGAAGAAGAAAGGGUAGGAUCUCUCUCUCUCUCUCUCUCUCUCUCUCUCUCUCUCUCUCUCUCUCUCUAAUGAUAAAUAUUUUUUAAGAAAAAUUAAUUAUAAGUUAAUGAAUAAGAAUAAUAGAUUAAUUCUAGAUUACAUAGAUUUGAUAAAUUUUAGACUACAUAGAAUUUUUAAAAGAUUUGCACAAGACUAACAUAGAUUUCGUAAAGGUGGACAAAUAAUUUAUGCAAGCGUGAAAAUUAAAAUUAGACACUUAACAAAAAAGGUGGUUGGAAAAUUUGAAAAUAUUACCGAUGGGAGAUUUAAAAAAAUAUACUUAGAAAUGAACAAAUGAAAAUUAAAAAAUAUAUGCGAAAAAAUGAAAAAAAAUAAUAUUUGAAUGAGAUAGAAAAAUAAUAGAGAGUAAAUUGAAAGCAUAUUUGGAAAAAAAAAAAAAAAAAAAAAAAGAAGAAGAAAGAAAGAAAGAAAGAAAGAAAGAAAGAAGAAGAUAUCGUUUAGUUCUAUUUGUUUCUGUGUUUGCUUAGUUCUUCUUUUCUUCCUUCUUGUUCUGUGAUCCUUUCUUCUUUACUCCUUUCUACUUCACUGCUAACUGAUAUAACAUUUUCAAAAUCUAGAUAAAUAUUAUGUGUUUGGGGUAGGCUUUGUGGUUGUACUAAAAUCAAUUGUAAACAUACAAUUAAAACCACUGUGUUAAGAGUAAUAAUUAGUUCUAAUAUGUUGAAGUUCUUUAUUAUUUCCUUUGCUGGAUGCCUUAAUAAACAGGUAAUAGUAUUGGAGAAAUAGCAGGGGAGAAGGUCAUCAUGUUCUAAAUUAUUGUAAUUUGGUUAUGCAUAUGAUAAGAGGUUGGAAAUUCUCCCCUUUCCGUGAGUUACACAAAAUAUUAGAGAAGUUGAAACCCACGAGCUUUGUGGGCUAUUAUUGUUACAUUAUGUCAUUAUGAUGAGAAUUUUGUGUUGAUAUUAUUAGGCUAUUACCAUACAAAAAGGAAUUUGUGGAUCAAAUAGCUCCGAAAAAUUUGUGCAUGAAGAGUUUUAUUAAUGUUUGGAUUCCAAGAAAAAUAAUAUUUAUUAGUUCAUAAUUUUUGCUAUAACUUGCAAUAUAGAGAAUUAUGAGUGAUAGAAGUGUAAACCCACCACUUUACUUUCACAACUCAUUGUGUGACAAAGUGUAACAAAAAUUAAGAACUCUUUUUUUUUUUUUUGGUAGUCCAAGUAAUUUUCUUUCUAAUAUUGAACUCAUAAGCCAGCUAUGAAUCGCAUGGCUCUACGUUUCUGUCUUUUUUGAAGGACCCCGCAUCCCUCGCUACCCUAUUAUUGAUAAUAUGACACUAUUGCCUCUAUAUCUCUCUCUCUCUAAGGAAAGAACUCUAUUUUUCUCUCUCCACGACUUCUUCUUUCUAACCACUUCUAAAAUUGAUAGAAAAACAUGAUACCGAUAUCUAAGGGAGGACCAACACAUUUGUCUUCCACUAGAAAAAAAUCAUUGCUCUCUCUCUCCUUUCUAAUCUCUUUCUACUUUCAAGACAAAAAACAUAGUUUUAUCUCUCCUUUUUAAUCUCUUACUUCUCUCUCUCUCCUUCUAGUCCCAAAGCUAACCAAAAUCUUUCUCUCUCUCCACAUUCUUGUUAGAAAGCUUACUAAAAUAUAUUUUUCUUUCUCCCACUUCUACCUACAAAGCUAAUUUACACAAUACAUUUCUCUCUCUCUUUUCUACUCUCUUUCUCUUUCUAGUCUCUGUCUUUUCUACUCUCUCUCUCUCAUCUAACCACAAAACAAACCAAAAUCUCUCUAUCUCCUUUCUUCUCUCUCUCUCUCUCUCUCAUCUAGCCACCAAACUAACCAAAAUCUCUUUCUCUCUCCUCUAGGCCACAAAACUAAUCAAAAUCUUUCUCUCUCUUUCUCUCUAGCCACAAAAUUAACUAAAAUCUUUCUUUCUCACUCUCUUUUCUACUCUCUCUCUCUCUCUCUCUCUCUCUCUCACAUCUAGCUACAAAACUAAUUAAAAUCUUUCUCUCUCUUCUAGCUAGAAAGCUGCUAAAUAUUCUCUCUCUUCUAGCUAGAAAGCUGACUAAAUUCUCUCUCUCUCUCUCUCUCUCUCUCUGCUACAAAGCUAAGUUACCCAAGACUAAAAUAUAUGGGUGGAACCCACACGUUCGUCUUUCGAGAACAUGGAUCUCUCUAUAUAUGCCAUGGUAUAAGUCAUAUACCCCAUUGUCAUCGUGUCCAUAAAGAAUAGCUUAAUUAGGGCUUGUCUCAGAUUCAAUUCCAAAGGGAGGUUCUGCCAUGCCAAAGCCAUUUCCCUACUUCGCUCCUCUUCCUCUCAACGGGUAACAGUGGCUAUAUAUAUUGUAUGGUUAUUUCUGUUUGUUUGUUUUGUUUUAGGGUGUUGAUACAAUUUUCUUUUGUGACAGGGAAGAAAAGUUGCUGUUGUACCUUGACGUUGGGGGGAAAAUAAUAUACCUUCUGAUACUCAUUGCCAUGCUCUUUUUUGCACUGCGCAAGUGUAAACGUAACGGUGGCCGUCGCCAAACUACUGUCCGUGUCAAUGGCGCCGCCAGUGACGAUGACGGUGAUACCAGCAGCAGCCAAAUUGCUAUGACUCCAACUUCCCUAGCUGUGACUACCACGAUGCCUUAGUAAUUACAGAAAUAUACGUACUGUCUAAGUGGUCGUGAAGCUUCCACGUACCUUUCGAGGAAGAUAUCUGCUUUCACGCUUGGAAAAAAAAAAAUAGUUGUCAUUAUUUAGAUUUCUAUGUUUGGUCUUUAUCGGUUUGUAAAAUAUAAAAAUGUAAUGGUGUGUUAUGAACUAGCGUUUGAGGUGUGUGAGGGUUUGCAGCUUUUUCUUUCUGUAUUGUAUUAAACUCUCUGUUUGAUUGAAUCGGUUUUAUUGGUUUGCUACGAGCUGAUCUAAAUUGUCCAACUUUCUACCUGUUUUUUAAUUAAGACUACUUUUGUUUAUCUGAGUCUAACCGGUGAACAUGACAGUGAAACCAGCGGCGGCCAAAUCUCCAUGGGUUCAACUAUUCCCUAGCUCGAUCUCAAAGACUCAACUCAAUAUCGCCAUGGCUUGCAACAUACUACUGUCUACUGUCUAAGUUGUCGUGGAGCUAGCUUUUUUACCUUUGGAGGAAAUUAGCGUUCAUGUUAAGGUUAUUAAUUAUUAUUUAGAAUUUCAUUUUUUAUUUUUGUUUGUUUUUUAAAUAUAUGGCAUCAUAAAAUAUCAGCCUUCUUUGUUGCCUUGAAUCCGUGGUGGUUGGGUAGCAAGUAUAGUUGUCCAGGUUGGUAAAAGGUUCGAAGGUUAGUACUUGAGUUGUGUCAGGUUUUGCAUGCUUUUCUUUCUAUAUGAAGACAGAUAUUUUUCCUGCAAAAAAAAAAAAAAAAAAAAGAAUAGAAUAUUGUCCUUUCUGAAAGUAGGGCCCCAACGCUAAUCUUAGGAUUAUCCCAUGUAUAUAUUUCAAGUUUGUGUUUAUAAUUUUUUUCUGGGAUUCAUUUUUCCUUAUUUUUAUUUUUAUUUUUAUUUUUUAAGGGACUUUAAAUAGGGUAUUUUGUCAAAAAGUGACUUUCCAAAUAAAUCAUAAAAAAGUAAUAAUUAUCACAUAUUAUAAUUUGAUAGAUAGGUGGAGAUGAAGGAAGAGAAAAGAGGAGGAAGGAGGAGUAGCUAUUUUGCUAUUGGGCGAAAAGAGAGGGAAUGAUGGGAAAGGGAUAAAGAUAUGACAAGUUUUGAUGUUUCUUAUCAAAAAAAAAAAAAAGGUUUUGAUGCUUAUAUCAGAAAAUUACUAAAAUACCCCUCAUAGGUUAAAAAGUAUGUAACUAUUUACUUUUUCUCAAGAGAAAUAAAUGUAAAAAUACACAUAUUCUUUUUCCAUCCUUUUAUAUACCAAACAAAAAUAUUCAUCACUUCUGACUUCCUUUCCUUCCUAUAUCCCAACCUCCUAGGGAGAAUAUUUUCUUUUCUCUUCCAUUCUUUUCCUCUCUCUUCCGUUCCCUCAACUUCAACUUUAGCGUAAAUGUCUGUUGAAGACACCGAUAUGUGCCAAAUUCAGUAUUUGCUUUAAAAAAAAUGGAGAUUUGAGACCAUGAUUCCACGGCCUAUACUUAUUAACUCUCGAGUCACACAGAAAACGCGAUUUCGCGCCACGAUUUUAGCUUUCUUGAUCUCAUUCAUUGCUAAACCCUCCCCAUCAAUUCCUUCUCGACUGUCUCUCACGGUGGCACAGGCAGCGUCAUCGUUCGUCUGCGUCUCCGACGGAAAUACAAAAAUUCCGGCAUCAAUUCACCGGCGACCACACAGUUUAUAUCACGGCAAGUUUUUUUCUUUUUUAGACAUUUUGGUUUGUUAACAUUAUAUGAGGUGCUAUGAUUUUUCCUUAAAAUUUUAGCUUUGUAGAUGGUGUUCUGUAAAUUAUUGGAGAUGUUAAUUGCUUAAAAAUUAAAUAUUUACUUAUGCAAAUUCUUGUAUACAGUAGUAAAAACAUAAAAAUUUGCAUAAAAUGGUUGUAUACUCUGCACAGAUUCAUGGGACCAUUCAAUUAAGUCAAUUUCAGUGAGAAGGAGUGAGUUGAUUUAAGUUGAGAGCGCGAAAAAAGUAUAUGUAAAUCAAGGAAGUAAGAGAGAGUAUGGCUUUGGAUAGAAUAGACUUGUGGGAAAAUUUUACAUGCAGCCGACCUGACUAGUCUGUUGAGGAUCCAUGCCUGACCUCAAAAUUUUGGGACUAAGGUUUGGUCGUUGUGGUUGUUGUAUAUAAAUUCAUUACCCUAUCAGAACCUAUUUAGUGGAGUUAUGUGAGUGAAAUUCAGGACACUCCUCGAACCCAGUUUAGAGAAAAACUUUGUCCUAAUUUUUGGCUCCUCAAAUCUCAUUGCCAUUUAAAAACUCUCACAGCUGCCAUUUUUGUUUUUGGGUUGUGGAUUAAAGAAAAAUUGUAGAGUAAAUCCAGUGAGAUGAUUCAAAGUGGCAGGGUGGUAUAAGGGUAUAACAUAAACAAAUAAAGAUUGUUGGCAUGGGAUAUCACCAGUCUUAUUAAUGCACUUGGUUCAGUGCAGUUCCAGCAAACCAAAAGUAGUUGUGCUGCUGAGCACUAGCUAUAUGAUUUUGGGGGUUCUAUUGAAUUUAAAUUUUUUUUUUUUUUUGGGGAAUUAUAUUGAUGUCAAAAUCAAAUUUAAGGAUGUAGUGCAUGGCUAGAUAGUGGUCAAGUGGAAACAGACUUGCGAACCCUGCUGCAAUAAGCCUUUGUGGAGUUAAGUUGAGUAGCAGAUCCCUGAACAACGUAAGAAUAGGUGGUUUUAGUUGGUGAUUGGCUUUGCUUAGGCUAUUUGAAUUGUUGAACUUGAAACCAGAUUGAUUGCUAGAAUAAUGAAUACUUUUUAUACAUAUUCAUAUCACGGAUUUUUUGCCGCCAUAUCACGGUUUUUAUUUUUCUUUUUUAGUCUUGAUUUUGUUUGUUGAGAAAUUUUUGUAUAAUAAGUUUGCUUAUGUAUUUAAGGGCCCACUUAUUUUAGCAUAAAAUCAAUCUUAUUUUCAGCAGCAGCUUAUGUACAUCUUUUUAAAUAUAAACUUUUUCUUGGUACAGCUCUACGUUUUCCUGGCUAAAUUUUUAAGCAAAUAAGCCAAUAAAAAUACCUAUAUAUAAAAAAUAAAAAAAAAUACUCAUCCAAAUACACACUAAUUUUGGUGGUUGCUCUGUCUGUCUAUAAGUUUUUAUUUUAGUUUUCUUUCAAUGGCAUUUGUUUCAAAACCCUGUAUGCAUUUGUGAACUGUCAAAUUUUGGUGGGACUACACUAGCUAGAAUGUCUAUUUGUAAGCCCUUAGAGGCUGAUGAACUUGAAUAAUGGCAUAGUAAUAACAAAACUUGUUUUAAAAUUAUUAUUAUUAUUUUUAAAAGUCCUGUAGAUGCUUACGCAGAAUCUAGAUAAUAAUUUGUUUGUGGUAGGCUUUGUGGUUGUACUAAAAUCAAUUGUAAACAUACACUUAAAAACCACUGUGUCAAGAGUAAUUAGCUCUAAUAUGUGUAAGUUCUUUAUUAUUUUCAUUGCUGGAUGCCUUAAUAAACAGGAAAUACUAUUGGAGAAAUUUCUGGGGAGAAGGCCAACAUAUUCUAUGCUAUUGUAAUUUGGUUAUGCAUAUGCUAAGAAGUUGGCAAUUCUCCCAUUUCAUCAAGUUAGAGAAGAUGAAACUCACAAGCUUUGUGGGCUGUUCUAGUUACAUUAUGAUGAUAAUUUUGUGUUGGUAUUACUCAGCUGUUAUCAUGCCAGAUAAAGAGGAAUUUGUGCAUCAAAUGGUUCUGAAGAAUUGUGCAUAUCAGGAACUUGUAUAUUCUAGGUUUAUUAUUAUACUGUUUGGAUUUCAAGUAACUGAAAAAUGUGUUCUUUUAUAAAGGUUUUGAGUUUUAUUAGUAUACUGUUUGGAUUCCGAGAAACUGAAAAAUAAGUUCCAUAUCCCUUGCAAUGCGAUCCAUAUCACCAAACAUAAUUAACCAAUCAAUUAAUACCAAACGAAAUCAUAAACCUAGAAGAAAUCACGUUUUUUUACAUAAAAAUACCAAAAAUAAUAAAUUACAAUAAUUAAAUAAUAAAUUGUGUCCUACAUCAGACCCCUCCACUUGAAACAAACUCGUCCUCGAGUUCAUCUUUGAAAUCUGAAAUCUCCCAUGCCAAGAGAACAAAUACUUUGAAUACUUCAUCUUCUUUGUCUUCUUGCCAAACUUGAAAGUCAUUAAUUGGGCAACUUGAACUUCUUCUCCCUUGAUCUUCAUGUAAUUGACAAUAUUCAUCAAAUAAGAGUCAAUGAUCAAAUCAAAUCUUUCCACCCCAAUAAAAUCAAUAAACUUUGUUUCGGUGUCUUCUAAUAAAAUAAUAGGAGUUUGAAUGUUGCAAUCAUCUAACUUGAUUUUAUCAAGAUUGUUGACAACUUCCUCUAUAAUUUCUUCUUUGAUGGUCUCUACUAUCUCAACCUCAAGAUCUUUCUCUAUAAUAGGGUCUUCAUUAAUCUCCUCCACAAUCUUGAUUUUAGGUUCUUUUUCUAUAACAAGACCUUCAUUAAUUUCCUCAAAAAUCUCGAUAUUCUCUUCUUUGACGUCUCCAUAUUCUUCAAGAACAAUAUUUUCUUUAACAUGUAAUUCUUCCUUUAAUGGUGGAAUAUUUGGCUCUUCAACAUAAUUCAAGUAUGAACUCCUUGGCCAAUAAUAAUCUUGUAUUGUAUACGACAAGAUUUCUUCACAAUCUAAAGGAUAAAAUUUGAUAGCAAGCAUCUUUUUCAUCCUUGGCCAUGAUCUAAUUUUGUCUUUACCUUGUCGAAUUCUAUCAGAUUGUACUCGUUCCCACCAACAUAAGGCAUACUUACUAAGUUUAUACAAAGCAAGUCCAACUUUUCUCUCAUAACAAAUAUUCUCAUAGUCAAAUAAAUCCUCUAGAUCAAGUAACCAAUCAAGAAAAUCUUCUUUUAAAAAAUAACCAUUAAAACUUGCAAUUCUCUUGUAAGGUCUAUAUGAAAUUUGCUUACCAAUAGGUUGCCCGUGAGUUAUGUCUCCGAUGCAGUUAUCCCUAUUGUUUCCAUUCUUCAACGGCGCCAUCUUAGCAUAGAUAUUUGUGAGUGCUUGUUGUACGUCACGUAAUACUUGCUAAGUUAUUCGUCGUUGUUGUGGUGGUUACCGUCUCGCCGGUUAGCAAUCAGACAAGGGUAAGUCAAGGCUCUGAUACCAACUGAUGUCGCGGAAGCCUAAAGAAGAGCACACACGAUGCUAUCUUGAUAGAAUAGAAACUAAACUGUUAGUUCCUAGGUAGUAAACCUCGAGUCCACGAGGGGUUCCUUGAAUCCACAAGGUGAUAGGUCUGGAAUCCACCAGAGAAUACAAUAGACACAAGUCUGAAUUUUUAUUGAUAAUAAACUAUGAAAAACAUUUACAGACUUAGGGGCCUAUUUAAGAGCUCCUUAAAACUUGACAGACAAGAAAAUAUAAUCUAAAAUAACUCCUAAUUGAUACCUAACCAUAACAGGAAUAAAAUUUGACCUAAAAAGCAUUAAAUACACCUAAAAAUAAGGAAAUACAUCACCUAAACCUAAAAUAACGUUUUUUUACAUAAAAAUACCAAAAAUAAUAAAUUACAAUAAUUAAAUAAUAAAUUGUGUCCUACAUCAUUUGCACUCAACCCCUUUACGUAUGAUGUUCUUAGCAAAUCAAUUACUCCAGUUAACUGUUACAAACUUAGCAAAGCAAUAAACUGUUAUGGAUAUUGCUAAUGAAGCAUCUGAAUCCCUCUGGCAUACAAUAUUGUUCCCAUUCUGUGUCUAUUCUUUCCCUCUUUAGCUUUUCUUUCCAUUUUCCCUUCACUUAUGUCCUUGUUUUGAGGCUUUUAAUGGGAGAUCUACCAAAGUAUUACUUGAUACGUAUAUGCUCUGGCCAAAUAAAAGGAAACAUUACAAAUAUUUAUAGACACAAGUUUACUACAGUUCUGUUUGUAGAAAUGAUCUUUGUAAGGAGCACAUUGUUCAUGCCCUUUUAAUAAAGAAAUUGGUUUUAUUGACUUAUGUGUCUGUUGUUGUUGGUUUUUUUUUUUUUUUCCCCCCCUCUGCCAAUAAGGGGUCUUCUUUCUCCUUAACAAAACAUGGGUAUAAAAGACUUGAAUUUCUUUUUGACUUUAGGAACUAUUGUUAAGUGUAGCAUCUUUUUUAACACAUAAUGGUUUCCUUCAGCAAUAUUGCUGUUCCUUUAGUUUCUCCCAGUACCUUCCUUUUUCUUUCUUUUUUUUUCCAAUAUCUUCUCCCAUUAUUUACAAGUUCUAAUUAUAUAUAACAUUGCAACCAUUAUUUCUUUUCAAUUUAUGUAUGUGCAGAAAUGGUGGGACUAUCUCUGGAAGAAGAGCACUUCAUACAGGGUGGCAUUGCUCAAGACCUUCGUUCUGAUGGUUGAAAAAGAUUAACUUACAGUCCUAUUUAUGUCAAAACUGGAGUUAUACUCCAGGUAUAACAUUCUUUUCAUAUACUUUAUUGAAACAUAGUCUGAUGCAAGAAAAGGAUUCAUAUAGCCAAAACCAAUUAACUAGAAUUAAGUCUAAUUUGAUUUGCUUAGUAGUUUUACGUCAGCAUUGACCUGCUUUCUUUGUGACAAACUGAACUUUUCUGCUGGUUUUUACGUAUUUCAUGGAGUUAAUGGCAGGCAAAUGGUUCAGCAAGAAUCAGUUUGGGGGAAACAGAUGUUAUUUCCAGUGUGAAGGUAUAUAAUGGUCCGAGAUGCUGGAUCUUCAACACAUAUCUACACUAAGCAGUUUCCUCCUGUGUUUUGUGAAUACUUGUAAUGUUGUCUACUAAUUUUUGUAAAUGCAGGCUGAACUUGGAAGGCCGAGUUUGUUGCAACCUGAUAAAGGAAAGGUUGCCAUACAUGUUGAUUGCAGUCCAACUGCAGCACCAAUGUUUGAGGUUGUAUUAUUUUUAUUUUGUUUGGCUGAGCUUAUUUUGUUUUAAACAAUAAGGUGUAUAAAAGUACAGUUGUUCCUAGAAAAAGUGAGUUUAAAAAAAAGAUGUAGUAGUGAAAUUAAGCUGGCAUUUUAGGCUAAAAAAACUGACCCCUUUUUUAAUAUAAAAAAGAAAAAAGAAAAAGAAAAAGAAAAAAAAGAGUUCAUUAUGUGUAAUAGCUGUUGAAAUUCAAUCAUGGCACAAUGGGGAAGAGUUAGUCUCAUUGCCAAUUUUCUUCAUAGUUCAUAUAUUUUAUAUAUAUUUCUAAUUUAGAUUUCUACCUUACUUAGGGUAGAGGGGGUGAGGAGUUGUCCACAGAACUCUCCAUUGCUCUUCUGUGUUGUCUCUUGGGUGCUAAAAGUGGAGCAGGUAUGAAUCUAAUGGGAGCUAGAGAAGUUACCACCAAUUUAUUGCCCUAUAUAUGCUUUCUAUCUUUUGGCAGCUCGUCCUCUGAUUUGUUUUUUGAUUAUAGAUUCUUGCUUUGCUUGAAUUGAAUAUCUUAUUUAAUUUUUCCCAGGAGCUGGAAUUGAUCUCUCGUCUUUAAUAGUUGUGAUGGGAAAAAUUUGCUGGGAUCUUCAUAUUUAUUGUCUUUAUAAACAAAUUUUUGCUAACAUUAUUAGGGACUGCUAUCACCCCGCUCAAAUUUUUACCUUCUUUUUUUUUUUUUUUUUUUUGAUUGCAUGGAGACUGCUAUGCCCUGCUCAAAUUCCUCAUGAUCAUUUAGUUUUUGAGCUUAAACUCUUAAGUUUUUUUGUUUUCCUCUCCUUAAAAAAAUAAUAGUGUGCCAUAUUGAGAUAAGUAGUAUUUUAUUUAUGGAAAUUGAAUUAUAAAAAUAAAGUUGUUUUUUUGUUAGUAAAAAAAACAACCAUAAUUAGAAUAAUUUUAGUUUCCAUUCCUUUUGGCUAAUGGAAUUAUUUUUGUUACUUGGGCUGGGUUGGACCAUAUCAAUAAUGGUCUAAGUAAUAUGCUCAGCCUUUUUAAUCGUCUCUUGCGUCUCAUUUCUAGGCUAAGCUAAUUGAAAUUGCAGUUCUCAUUUUCAGAAAUUGCAUCUGCAAUACCAUACGACACAAGCUAAUGGGAGCUGAAAUAUUAUUCUAAAUUCUAAUUUAAAAAGUGACCAUUUUAUGCAUCUUUUGUGUAUUUUUUUAAGCCCCUAUCUUCUUCUUUCUCAAAAACUCUUAAGAGGACCUGCUGUAACUUGCAAGUCAACACAAGUUUUCACUCAAAAUAUUUUCUGCGAUAAUUCUGAAUUAUUUAUCCAAAAAACUGGUGUAUGAUUUGUCUUUGCAGUAAUCAGACGAAGAUAA
rnacentral:sRNA from 1 species